rnacentral:rRNA from 1 species
GGGAGGUAGUGACAAUAAAUAACAAUACGGGGUUCUUUCGGAUCUCGUAAUUGGAAUGAGUACAAUUUAAAUCUCUUAACGAGGAACAAUUGGGGGGCAAGUCUGGUGCCAGCAGCCGCGGUAAUUCCAGCUCCAAUAGCGUAUAUUAAAGUUGUUGCAGCUAAAAAGCUCGUAGUUGAAUUUCGGGAUCAUUAUGUUGGUCGUGCCUUGGUACGUACUGGCAUUAUUGAUUCCUACCUUCUGAAGAACUUCGAUGUCAUUAAUUUGGUGUCUUGGGGAAUCAGGACUGUUACUUUGAAAAAAUUAGAGUGUUUAAAGCAGGCAAGCGCUUGAAUACAUUAGCAUGGAAUAAUGAAAUAGGACGUUUGAUCUUAUUUUGUUGGUUUCUAAGAUUGACGUAAUGAUUAAUAGGGAUAGUUGGG